rnacentral:rRNA from 1 species
AAGAUUGAACUGAAGAGUUUGAUCCUGGCUCAGAUUGAACGCUGGCGGUAUGCUUAACACAUGCAAGUCGAACG